GCAUAUGCGAUCUGCUGUACGGCACGAGGGGAUGUGCUAUCGAAUUUCUUCCCCUCUCUCCUUCCUUUCCUCCACGCCUUUGGCGCCUCAUCUUCCUUCCAUCGCCUCUAUUCUCGUUGACUGAAGCUGUUUUGACUUGCCCACCCUUUCUUGCGAUGAGGCACAAGCACCUAUGCACAUGGACGCCUAGUCGAGUGCACACGGCGGUGAUGGCUCGCCUUGCACAGUGAAUGCGGACGUUCGCCCAUUGUCCUCUGGCUUCCUGUAUCUUCUGCUUCAACACCUUGCUUCUCUUCCAUAGCCAGCCAGCGCGCCUUUCUUGCCGUCUAAAGUACUUUCUUCCUUAUCGUUUUCGUCAAUGGAUUUCCGUGCACGUCUUCCCUCCCCCUUUCCGUCAGUGUUCCCCAGGCGCUCAGAGCUGGCGAGAAGCACCGGUGUAUCGUGCGCCAUCGCCUACUUCCGCUGUGUGGAUGCACCACGUAAUGCCGCUUCGCUCUCAAUUCUUAUUUGAAGUCACGUUCUUCAUGUGGUCACUCGAAUCCCCGCUCAGGCCUUCUUUCCAUCGUUGCCGGUGCGUUAGAGUCGGUCCCACCCAUCCAGCCCCAGUUCACCGCUUCACCAGGUGAGACAGGAGAUCCGAAAAGAUGGGUGGCCAGGCAUUCUCGUGAGCCCCCAAUGAAGGUGCACACACCGUCCCUAUGGAUCACCUUGAGUGACAAGGCUCGGCCGAAGCUGUACGAUGGCACGCACCCCUCAUCUCGGGUUGUGCAACUGUAUGUUUUCCUACAGGUCGCAGCGCUUGUUGUACUCCUCGAUACGUCCCCCCUACUCCCCUUCCCCCUCUUCCCUUCCCCUCUCUCGCCUCCUACCUUCUUUCUCGUGCCGGCGAAG
rnacentral:misc_RNA from 1 species